rnacentral:rRNA from 1 species
GGCUCAGAUUGAACGCUGGCGGCAGGCCUAACACAUGCAAGUCGAGCGGUAGAGAGGUGCUUGCAUCUCUUGAGAGCGGCGGACGGGUGAGUAAUGCCUAGGAAUCUGCCUGGUGGUGGGGGAUAACGUUCGGAAACGGACGCUAAUACCGCAUACGUCCUACGGGAGAAAGCGGGGGAUCUUCGGACCUCGCGCCAUUAGAUGAGCCUAGGUCGGAUUAGCUAGUUGGUGAGGUAAUGGCUCACCAAGGCGACGAUCCGUAACUGGUCUGAGAGGAUGAUCAGUCACACUGGAACUGAGACACGGUCCAGACUCCUACGGGAGGCAGCAGUGGGGAAUAUUGGACAAUGGGCGAAAGCCUGAUCCAGCCAUGCCGCGUGUGUGAAGAAGGUCUUCGGAUUGUAAAGCACUUUAAGUUGGGAGGAAGGGUAGUAACCUAAUACGUUGCUACUUUGACGUUACCGACAGAAUAAGCACCGGCUAACUUCGUG